rnacentral:RNase_P_RNA from 2 species
GGCAUAACUGGCACACGUACGGAGCACCUUGUUGCUCAUCCACCACGUCCAUUGGGAAGGUCCGAGAGUCCCGUCUGCCCGCCGCGUCCCGCUUGCCGCCCGUUCCCUUCGGGGACCCGUCCCGGUAUGUUUUUCCCCUCGCCCGUUCGCCUCUGGCCGUCCACAACUAUGCGCACCACGGCCUUGAUCUGUGCUGCUGCCACCUUCACGCCGCCAAAUAUGCGUGGCGCAUCUCUCGCGGAGGCCUCCAACUGUUCCUGGUUCCGGAGCAGGGGGAUAACAACUGGGCUUGUGCGUGUCGGGGUGGUGGUGGCACGUCGUGGUGUGCGUGGACGCGUUCUGGGGGCGCGGUGCAAUGAGGGCAUACUCGGGACGGAGUGCGGUGCGGGUUACUUUCUGGCGGCACAAGAAACCAACCGUUGAGGACCGGUCCGUUUUUCACGAGACUGCGAGACGUUGAAAGCGCCGCCGAGGGAUCAUUCCAUUCAGUGCAAUAUGCCGUAGCAGGAGUGCGCGAAAGCGUGUUCUGCCCACUCAAUUCGGACUAUUGCC